rnacentral:rRNA from 1 species
UUGAACGCUGGCGGCCGGCCUAACACAUGCAAGUCGAGCGGAUGAAGGGAGCUUGCUCCUGGAUUCAGCGGCGGACGGGUGAGUAAUGCCUAGGAAUCUGCCUGGUAGUGGGGGAUAACGUCCGGAAACGGGCGCUAAUACCGCAUACGUCCUGAGGGAGAAAGUGGGGGAUCUUCGGACCUCACGCUAUCAGAUGAGCCUAGGUCGGAUUAGCUAGUUGGUGGGGUAAAGGCCUACCAAGGCGACGAUCCGUAACUGGUCUGAGAGGAUGAUCAGUCACACUGGAACUGAGACACGGUCCAGACUCCUACGGGAGGCAGCAGUGGGGAAUAUUGGACAAUGGGCGAAAGCCUGAUCCAGCCAUGCCGCGUGUGUGAAGAAGGUCUUCGGAUUGUAAAGCACUUUAAGUUGGGAGGAAGGGCAGUAAGUUAAUACCUUGCUGUUUUGACGUUACCAACAGAAUAAGCACCGGCUAACUUCGUG